CAGGAGUUGGCAGAAUCUGAAGCUGAAUUCACCCAUCUUCUUUUAUCCCUUGGUGAACCAUCACUUCCUGCCCGGGUACAUGAUCUAUCAAACUCUACAUCUAGCAGCCUCUUACAGCCUGCACUUCAAAUACAACACAUAUACACGUGUAAAACCCAAAUAAUAAUUUUACAAUGUUCUCUCUGAUGAACCUAAUAUUAUAAAAGCUCAAAAUCAAUUUCUAUCAUCAUUGAAUUCUGUGCUAAAGGUCUAUUGUAAGCUACCCCUUACGUUCUAGAAAGUUAAAUGAAAGGAUCUGUUAGAAUCUUUGCAGCAUAUGCAACAAUAAAGAUUGUGAGUCAUGCUGUGGUGAGAGUUUAGUCUGUCUAAAACAGAAUAUGCGUAAAUGACACGAUACUUUAUACUUGCCUGAGUCAUAUAAACUACUGUUUGUACAGCCAGAAAAGACGGGAAGGACGCUCAAGGAACAGCUAGAUUCAAUGUCACCUGCUUUGCAAGAAAUGCGGUUGAGAAAAGAGGAGAGAGUGAACGAGUUUCGAGCUGUGCAAGGGCAAAUUCAGAAAAUUUCUGCACAAGUAGCAGGUCAAUCAGAAUAUGACGAUUCAUCAACAAAGAUCAUAGUGAAUGAGAAUGAUCUCUCUCUCAAGAAAUUAGAGGAAUAUAAAACUGAACUUCAAAGACUCCACAAUGAGAAGGUAUUUCACUGCUCUUUGUGUUAGUAGCAAGCACAUUUUCAUUAUAUUCAUCAAAACUGAGAAAUUAAGGAACUCCUACUUCCAUUUUCUUUCCAUGGAUGGAAAGAAUGACAGGCUUCAGAGAGUGGAAAAGUACAUAAGUACAAUCCAUGAUUUAUCUGCAAUCCUGGGGAUUGAAUCCUCUAUGAUCAUAACUAAGGUUCAUCCAAGCUUGAAUGAACUGUACGGAAUAUCCAAAAACAUAAGUGACAGUAUAUUGGCCAAGCUAAACAGCACGGUGGAAUCUCUUGAAGACGAAAAACAACAGCGGCUUGAGAAGGUGAACUCUAAAUACCAUUCCUUCCCAUAUGUUCCUGAUCUUAGCCUUCUUUUGACCGCAUCUUAUUUAAAUCCAGUUGCAAUAAAACAUACAAGUUUGUCGACUGUGCUCAUGGCAUGUAUUCAUGGAAGUAAAAACAAAGAUCAACGUGAAAAAUCGGUUGUUGAGCUUUUAUUCCAUUUAUUCAAGGUGCCACUAACAUGUUAGGUAGAAGAUCAUCAUGACAAACUCUAAUUUACAUUUUGCAAGUUUGGCAGCUUCACCAUCUUGGUAAAUCCUUAAAGAACUUGUGGAAUCUUAUGAACACACCCUUCGAAGAUCGUCAACCGUUUUCCCAUGUAACUAAUUUACUAUCCAUCUCAUCAACAGAAGUUUCUUAUCCUGGAAGCCUUACUAUAAAUAAAAUCCAGCAGGUAAGAUACAUAGUAUCUAAUCUAACUUCAGUAUAUCAGAAAACAUCUAGACUAAACAGUAAUUAAAUUGUUGCAAGGCUGAUGCUGAAUUCAAGAGACUAGAUCAAUUGAAAGCAAGCAAGAUGAAGGAACUUUUCCUAAAGAAGCAGAAUGAACUAGAAGAGAUAUGCAAUAAAUCACACAUGUAUAUACCUUCAAGAUCGGAGAUGGAAAACAUCAUAAACCUCAUAAAAUCUGGUGUGACUUAGUGAAUACUGAGCUUUUUUUAUAGAAAGACUUGUGUUGUUUAAAUCUGAAGUGUCGUAAUCUGAUCAAAACCGACAAAAGGGGGGAUUGACCAUGCCAAUCUCCUCAUGACCAUGGAUGGACAGAUAUCAAGAGCAAAGGAAGAAGCCUCUAGUCGGCAAACAAUAAUGGAGAAAGUAGAAAGAUUGAUGUUAGCACGUGACGAGGAGCGGUGGCUUGAAGAAUAUAGCAUGGUUAAUACUCUCAACAUUGGUCCAAACAUUACUAGCUUUCACUUUAGACCACUCAUGCCUGUUUGACGGAUUUUUUUUUCAGGAUGAGAAUCGAUAUUCAGUCAGCAGAGGUGCUCAUAAGAAUCUGAGACGUGCAGAACGGGCCAGGGUAACAGUCAACAAAAUCCCAGGUAAAAUAGGAAAUUUCUUGUGUUAGAUAUUUGCUCGAUUCAGUAGAAGAAACCCAAAUCACUAAUACAACUGAUAAAUCCUAUAAAAUGAUUAUAUAUAAAAAUAAAUAAAUAAAACCACUGAUGCUUUCUGUUAAAGCAGUUAGUUUAUCCAUCCAAUGAUGUUUCUAUUUUCAUACAAUGAUCCAUUGCAGCAGUGGUUGAAACACUUAUAGCAAAAACAAAGAGCUGGGAAGAAGAGAGAAAGAAAGUUUUCCUAUAUGAUGAGGUGAGAAUCUUUUACCUGAAGGAUGUAGAUAGAACUAUGUUUAUUUUAUUGGGCACAAGUAGCUGAAUAGUUUUUUGCAAAUACGGGAGCAUUAUCUACAGUUACCAUAAACUAAUAAUAAGAAAAAUAACAUUUUGCUUUUCUAGGUACCUCUCCUUGCAAUGUUGGAGGAGUACAACAUGCUGCGCCAGGAAAAAGAGGACGAGAAGCUAAGACAACGGGUUAGUAUUGUUUGAAACUGCUAUCGAAAUAGAAUGCCAUUCAUCAGUCUCUAUUUUAGUCCACGUAUAUAGCUUUCUCAUCAGAAUGUUAACAGAGAAGAAAAUUUCACAUUCAAUAGCAUCUUUUAUGUAAUCUGAUACCUGAUCAGAUGGCGUUUCCUCAGCAGAAGAAAAAGGUUCAAAGCCAAGUAAUUACAGAGCAGGAUAGUUUCUCUAUUUCAAGGCCAACCACCAGUAGUCGGCAUAUUUCAAGUAGGAGCUUGAACGGAGGUUUCAGCAAUGCAAC
rnacentral:lncRNA from 1 species